rnacentral:tRNA from 1 species
GGAGAAGUGGGUGGCUCAGUGGUAGUGUGCAUGCUUUGUGUGUAUGACGUCCUGGGUUCAAUCCCUAGCUUCUCCC